CACGUAGGGCGCAAGCGUUGUCCGGAAUUAUUGGGCGUAAAGAGCUCGUAGGCGGUCUGUUGCGUCCGCUGUGAAAACCCGGGGCUUAACCCCUGGCUUGCAGUGGAUACGGACAGACUAGAGGUAGGUAGGGGAGAAUGGAAUUCCCGGUGUAGCGGUGAAAUGCGCAGAUAUCGGGAGGAGCACCGGUGGCGAAGGCGGUUCUCUGGGCCUUACCUGACGCUGAGGAGCGAAAGCGUGGGGAGCGAACAGG
rnacentral:rRNA from 1 species